GACCCCGUAGCUCAGGUGGUAGAGCAUCUGACUUUUAAUCAGAGGGUCGCAGGUUCGAGUCCUGCCGGGGUCAC
rnacentral:tRNA from 1 species